UGGGCUAUCGCCAAGCGGUAAGGCACGGGACUUUGACUCCCGAAGGCAUGGGUUCGAAUCCCAUUAGCCCAG
rnacentral:tRNA from 1 species